rnacentral:rRNA from 1 species
AUUGAACGCUGGCGGCAUGCCUUACACAUGCAAGUCGAACGGCAGCGGACCUUCGGGUGCCGGCGAGUGGCGAACGGGUGAGUAAUGCAUCGGAACGUGCCAUUGAGUGGGGGAUAACGUAGCGAAAGUUGCGCUAAUACCGCAUAUUCUGUGAGCAGGAAAGCAGGGGACCGCAAGGCCUUGCGCUCUUUGAGCGGCCGAUGUCAGAUUAGCUAGUUGGUGAGGUAACGGCUUACCAAGGCGACGAUCUGUAGCGGGUCUGAGAGGAUGAUCCGCCACACUGGAACUGAGACACGGUCCAGACUCCUACGGGAGGCAGCAGUGGGGAAUUUUGGACAAUGGGGGCAACCCUGAUCCAGCCAUGCCGCGUGAGUGAAGAAGGCCUUCGGGUUGUAAAGACUCUUUCGGUCCGGGAAGAAAUCGCAUGGUUAAUACCCUGUGUGGAUGACGGUACCGGC